rfam:Capsaspora owczarzaki ATCC 30864 unplaced genomic scaffold supercont2.4, whole genome shotgun sequence.
GCUCCCAUAGCUCAAUUGGCAGAGCGCGACACUAGUAAUGUCGAGGUAGCGUGUUCGAUUCACGCUGGGUGCA